rnacentral:tRNA from 1 species
GGCCGCAUGGCCCAAUGGCAAGGCGUCUGCCUACGAAUCAGGAGAUUGCAGGUUCGAGCCCUGCUGUGGUCA